AUGAGAAGAGAUUCUGAAGAGGAAGAAGAGGUUGUUGCACCAGCACCCAAGGCACCAAAGCUUAUGGGUGAUGCUAUUAGAUCAGGGGCUGCAACAUCUAAGCCCAAGGAAGCACCCAAAGCUGCCUCCAAGGCCAAGCUUAUACCAAAGAGGAAUACUAGGAGUAUUCCAGCUGCUGAGAAGAACAAGGCCCCAGUGCCAAAUGUUGUUGAUGAAGAAGAUGAAGAAGGACAGGUCCUAAGGAAGCUCAAGCCCAAGAUACCAGACCACAAUGAUGCCCAUCCUGUGGCUGAGGACAUGAGGAUCAGGAAGGACUCAGGGUUAAGGCUAUGGAGGAUGGAAGAUCCAUAUGCCUCAAGGAGAAGAACUGUUGUUGACUACAGGUUCCAUACAAAGGAACAACAGGAUUUCUAUGAGACAAUCUUGUUGGAUAAGAAGCCCAUAGUUUGUGAUAUGAGGUGGGUCGACUGGACCUACAUCAAGGACAAUGAAGAGCACUAUCCUGGAGUGCAAGAAAGCUUUGUUGUUUGUGGAGUUGCUGAUUUUGUUAGGCAAAAGCUCACCAACUGGAAUGAUGAACUUAUCAUGCAAUUCUACUCCACAGCACAUUUCUAUCCAGAUGGAAGGAUAGUUUGGAUGUCAGAAGGCACCAGAUACCAGUCAACUAUUGAAGAAUGGGCAAGUCUGAUAAAUGCCCCAAAGGAAGAUGAAGAUGACCUGGACAUUUAUGCCAAGAAGAAGAUGGACCACAAGUCCAUGGCACACAUGUACAAGGAGAUCCCAGACAAGGCUGUUGAGACACAUAAGUUUGGAUCAGUCCACUUUCUUCUGUCAGGACUGCCGACCAUCAAUUGGAUCCUAAGGCAUACCUUGUUGCCUAAGUCUGGUGACCACAACAUGAUCAGAGGGCAUGCCAUCAACAUGUUGCAUGUGUUUGAUGUGCCACAGAAGUUCAAAGUCAUGAGCCUUAUGAUUGAAACCAUUAAGAGGACUGCAGCAGAUCAAAAGAGGAGCUGUGGAUAUGCCCCUCAGAUUCAGGAGUUGAUUAACUCAAAGAUGGGCACAGGGAAAUAUCAAUUGGAUAAGGAACAUUUUCCACUUUAUCCAGACUUUGAAGACAAUGAGGUUGUCAUGAAUGAGAAUGAUCCAUCAUCAGUUCAAGCUCAAGAGAAGAAGGAGAAGGCAAGGAAGGAGAAGGCCGCCAAGAUGCCAACUCAAGAGGAGGCAUCUGAGUAUUUCUUGAAGAACAAGCAGGAGCGGCUUGGUUACUUAAUAGCAUCAACACUGAGGAUUGAGAAGGGAUUGGCCACCCUCACUCAGAAUCAGGAGAGCCUGGAAAGAAUCAUGGAGCUCAAAUUCCAUGACCUUGAUGUCAAAGUAACUGAGAUUCAGUCAGUGGUAGAGCAGCUGCAGGAUGACAUGCAGGAGAGGCAGGGCAAGACUACCCAAAAUGUGUUUGCUAGAGUGCCCAAAGCCCAGAGGUCAGUUGCAGUGCCUGUGACAGACACUAGAGCAACAUCUUCAGCACCAGCUACAGCUCCUACUGCUCCAGUGCAACCAGCUCCAGCAUCAACUCCAGCACCCUCUACUUCAACUGAAGCCUUCGUUCUUGGAGUUAUCCAGACACCACCACCUGAAGAUCAAGCCUGA
rnacentral:rRNA from 1 species